AACGGGUGAGUAACGCGUGAGGAACCUGCCUCAAAGAGGGGGACAACAGUUGGAAACGACUGCUAAUACCGCAUAAGCCCACGGGUCGGCAUCGACCAGAGGGAAAAGGAGCAAUCCGCUUUGAGAUGGCCUCGCGUCCGAUUAGCUAGUUGGUGAGGUAAUGGCCCACCAAGGCAAUGAUCGGUAGCCGGACUGAGAGGUUGAACGGCCACAUUGGGACUGAGACACGGCCCAGACUCCUACGGGAGGCAGCAUG
rnacentral:rRNA from 1 species